CUUUUUUGGAAUGUGUCCCCAUAUGCUAUGGUGUUUUCAUUUAACACAUUCUAUAUUGCAUGAUUGAUUGUGGGCCCCAAAAAGUGAAUAAAGUAAAAUAGGAUGACUCAACAAAACCAUGAACAUGAUUGAUGAUAAAUGAUAACAAUGUCUACUUUUGCCAGAGAAAUUUAGAUAUGUGCUGACAACAUAAGCAAAUGCAUGUGUGCCACUUACCACUUUUUAUGAGUACAGAAGGAGUAACAAACUUUCCUUUUGGUUAACAAAUUGAACAACUUUCAAGACAUACUCAACAUUUGAGAAUUUGUAUGGUAAGGAAAAUAAUUUUGUGUUUACUUUGAUCCGCGAUACGAGACCUAUGAGAAGGACGCAGUCACACAGUUGAACGAUCUCAGCCGAUUGAUCAAGGCUGAGGAGCAUUUGGAUUUUGGACUCCAGAGAGACUAGACGACCACUGAUGAUGGAACAAAUAAAUUUGAAAUGUGUUUAUGAUGCUUAUGGGUCUAAAACUCAACUAAAGUUGCCGUAAGGUUUAAUGUACAUUUUAUUGUAACAGUAGAAUUAAGAAUUCAUUUAUAUUUGUAAAUGAAAUUGUAUAUUUUAACAUGAGUGAAAAUGAUUCCAUUUAUACUGAAAAAUAAUGCAACUUAUGCAAGGACAUCUUGUUUAUUGGAUAAUGCAACUGCUCUAUAAA